rnacentral:rRNA from 1 species
AAGUCGUAACAAGGUUUCCGUAGGUGAACCUGCGGAAGGAUCAUUAAUGAUUUUUAAGCAAUCCGAGCGAUAAAAAAGUGAGGAUUGUGAAAUAUUUAAAACCCCACUCUUUUUAACUAUAUAAUAUUGAAUCAUGAUACAUGAAUUUAAAAAAAAAGAUCACUUUCAACAACGGAUCUCUUGGCUCUCGCAUCGAUGAAGAACGCAGCGAAAUGCGAUAAGUAGUGUGAAUUGCAGAAAUUGUGAAUCAUCGAAUCUUUGAACGCAAAUUGCACUCUCUGGUAUUCCGGGGAGUAUGCCUGUUUGAGGGUCGUUAGAAAAAAAAUCGAAGCGUCGCUCUUUAUGAAAUAUUUAACAUAUUUUGUUUUGGUGAUUUGCGUCGGAAUUGAGCCGUCUUUCAUAUGUUAAAUUCAUGUCAAAGUGGCUUAAAAUUCAAUCAAUCUGGUACGAUUUAAAGCGUAUUUAAGAUCAACCUUGAUUAAGAACGCGCGAUGACGUAUCAUCUCAUGUAGUACGUUCGACCUGGCUGUCAGGCUCAUUCGUAUACGACAUUCAACUUUUGACCUCAAAUCAGGUAAGAAUACCCGCUGAACUUAAGCAUAUCAAUAAGCGGAGGAAAAGAAAAUAACAAUGAUUCCCUCAGUAACGGCGAGCGAAGAGGGAUAAGCUCAAAUUUUAAAUCUGUUGGGUUUCACCUAACAGAGUUGUAUUUUGAAGAAACGUUUUCUGCGUCCAGGAUUAGCCUAAAUCCUUUGGGAUAAGGUAUCAUGGAGGGUGAGAAUCCCGUUCAUGGUUAAUCUUAAGGAUGCUCUACGAUACGUUCUCCAAGAGUCGAGUUGUUUGGGAUUGCAGCUCAAAAUGGGAGGUAAAUUUCUCCUAAGGCUAAAUAUUGGCGAGAGACCGAUAGCGAACAAGUACCGUGAGGGAAAGAUGAAAAGUACUUUGAAAAGAGAGUUAAACAGUACGUGAAAUUGUUGAAAGGGAAACGAUUGAAGUCAGUCAUACCAACGGGAAAUCAAUCUCUUGAGUUCGGUCUUGUGGGUUUUGAAGAGUUUAAAAGCCUUCGGAUUUGCGAGGAUUGGGUUCUUUUGGUGUACUUUCUCGUACGGUUAGUCAACAUCGGUUUUGAAUGUCAUAAAAUGACUGGAGGAAUGUGGCUUCGAUCUCGUAUUGAAGUGUUAAAGCCUUUGGUAGAUGUGAUGUUUGAGACCGAGGAUUGCAACGGAUACCCUUCUGGGUUAUUCGUCUGAUCUCUGAUACGUUGCCUUAAUGUUGAAAGCUUGCUUAUGAUGUUAGGGUAUUACGGUCAAAAGGUUAGAACGGAUUAAAUUCGUUAAGGAUGUUGACGUAAUGACUUUAAACGACC